UUCAGGUCUCUCACACCUUGGACGAGUUCUAGGAGCUUCUUGUUUUGCUGCUUGUGGUAGCUUUAGCUCCUUAGAGCCGCUGUAUGGAGCCACAUUGCUGGGUCCUCUGAGGUACCAGAAGAGAGCUCACCCCAGUCAACAGGCCUGGGGCUAAAAGACUUCCUACUGGCACUCUGUAAGCUUGAGUAAAGAGAAGGUUAGUGUUUUAGACAAAUAAAACAAAUAUUGAAUGGCUUACAAAGUCUUCCCUCUUUG
rnacentral:lncRNA from 1 species